UGGGGAAUUUUGGACAAUGGGGGAAACCCUGAUCCAGCCAUCCCGCGUGUGCGAUGAAGGCCUUCGGGUUGUAAAGCACUUUUGGCAGGAAAGAAACGUCAUGGGUUAAUACCCCGUGAAACUGACGGUACCUGCAGAAUAAGCACCGGCUAACUACGUGCCAGCAGCCGCGGUAAUACGUAGGGUGCAAGCGUUAAUCGGAAUUACUGGGCGUAAAGCGUGCGCAGGCGGUUAGGAAAGAAAGAUGUGAAAUCCCAGAGCUCAACUUUGGAACUGCAUUUUUAACUACCGGGCUAGAGUGUGUCAGAGGGAGGUGGAAUUCCGCGUGUAGCAGUGAAAUGCGUAGAUAUGCGGAGGAACACCGAUGGCGAAGGCAGCCUCCUGGGAUAACACUGACGCUCAUGCACGAAAGCGUGGGGAGCAAACAGG
rnacentral:rRNA from 1 species